rnacentral:rRNA from 1 species
AUUGAACGCUGGCGGCAUGCUUUACACAUGCAAGUCGAACGGCAGCGCGGAGAAGCUUGCUUCUCUGUCGGCGAGUGGCGAACGGGUGAGUAUAGCAUCGGAACGUGCCAAGUAGCGGGGGAUAACCAAACGAAAGUUUGGCUAAUACCGCGUAAGCUCUAAGGAGGAAAGUAGGGGACCUAAAUAAGGCCUUACGCUAUUUGAUCGGCCGAUGUCGGAUUAGCUAGUUGGUGGGGUAAUGGCUCACCAAGGCAAUGAUCCGUAGCGGGUCUGAGAGGACGAUCCGCCACACUGGGACUGAGACACGGCCCAGACUCCUACGGGAGGCAGCAGUGGGGAAUUUUGGACAAUGGGGGAAACCCUGAUCCAGCCAUGCCGCGUGUAUGAAGAAGGCCUUAGGGUUGUAAAGUACUUUUGUUAGGGAAGAAAAGCUAGUUUUUAAUAAAAAUUAGUGAUGACGGUACCUAAAGAAUAAGCACCGGCUAACUACGUG